rnacentral:pre_miRNA from 1 species
CAACUACUCCCUCCGUUCCGAAUUACUUGUCGCAGGUAUGGAUAUAUCUAGAUGUAUUUUAGUUCUAGGUACAUCCAUUUCUGCGACGAGUAAUUUGGAACGGAGGGAGUACUAU